GUAGUCUCGCACAGAUGCAUAUCAAUAAGCGGAGGAAAAGAAACUAACAAGGAUUCCCUUAGUAACGGCGAGUGAAGCGGGAAGAGCUCAAAUUUGAAAUCUUCAAGGUUUUACCUUGACGAAUUGUAGUUUAAAGAAGUGUUUUCUGUUGAAGUUUUGGUAAAAGUUCUUUGGAAUAGGACAUCAUAGAGGGUGAGAAUCCCGUAUUUGACCAUUAUUUUCAGCUGCGUGAUACACUUUCAAAGAGUCGGAUUAGUUUGGGAAUGCAGGUCCAAAAUGGGUGGUAAAUUUCAUCUAAAGCUAAAUAUUGGCGAGAGACCGAUAGCGAACAAGUACCGUGAGGGAAAGAUGAAAAGAACUUUGAAAAGAGAGUUAAACAGUACGUGAAAUUGUCAAAAGGGAAGCGUUUGACACCAGUGUUGUUUUUCUGAAAAUCAAUUAAAGGACUGUUUAUGCUAAGUUGUUUAGACUUUAUCAGCUAACUGUUUAGUUUUGAGCUUUUCUUUAAUGCACUUUUCAGUUAACAAGUCAACAUCAAUUUCUUUUGCUGUAAAAAAGCUUGAGGAAGGUGGCUUGAGAUUCGUCUUAAGUGUUUAUAGCCUCUUGCCUAUGCAGUCGGAGAGAUUGAGGUCUGCAGCGUAGAUCCUUCGGGGCUAAAUGCAUUUGUGCUAAGUUAUAGCAUUUUAUAGACAACUUGUUGACUAUGAUUUGUCUUGUAGCUUACUCGCUUAUGUUAUUUUACCUACGCUUAGGAUGUUGAUGUGAUACUGCGAGCA
rnacentral:rRNA from 1 species